CCCUGGUUGAUCCUGCCAGUAGUUAUAUGCUUGUCUCAAAGAUUAAGCCAUGCAUGUCUCAGUGCAAGCCGUAUUAAGGCGAUACCGCGAAUGGCUCAAUAUAUCAGUUUUGGUUCCUUAGAUCUUACUCAGUUACUUGGAUAACUGUGGUAAUUCUAGAGCUAAUACAUGCAAUCAGAACUCUGACCAGUGAUGGGAACGAGUGCUUUUAUUAGAUCAAAACCAAUCGACGGAGGGCCUCGCGUCCGAUGUCGUUAAUUUUGAUGAAUCUGGAUAACUUUUGCCGAUCGCACGGUCCAGUACCGGCGACGCAUCUUUCAAAUGUCUGCCUUAUCAACUUUCGAUGGUAGUUUCUGCGACUACCAUGGUUGUCACGGGUAACGGGGAAUCAGGGUUCGAUUCCGGAGAGGGAGCCUGAGAAACGGCUACCACAUCCAAGGAAGGCAGCAGGCGCGCAAAUUACCCACUCCCGGCACGGGGAGGUAGUGACGAAAAAUAACGAUACGGGACUCUAACGAGGCCUCGUAAUCGGAAUGAGUACACUUUAAAUAUUUUAACGAGGAACAAUUGGAGGGCAAGUCUGGUGCCAGCAGCCGCGGUAAUUCCAGCUCCAAUAGCGUAUACUAAAAUUGUUGCGGUUAAAAAGCUCGUAGUUGCAUUUGUGCGCCGCGCUGUCGGUGCACCGCAUUAGCGGUGAUACUGACACGUCUGCGGAGCAUAUCGUCGGUGAGCCGUCGGUAAAACGACGGUUCAAUAUCAAAAUCCUAUCGCGGUGCUCUUCGGUGAGUGUCGAGGUGGGCCGACAAUUUUACUUUGAACAAAUUAGAGUGCUCAAAGCGGGCUCAAAAUGCUGCUUGAAUAUUUCGUGCAUGGAAUAAUAGAAUAUGAUCUCGGUUCUAUUUUGUUGGUUUUCAGAACUCCGAGGUAAUGAUUAAUAGGGAUAACUGGGGGCAUUCGUAUUGCGACGUUAGAGGUGAAAUUCUUGGAUCGUCGCAAGACGAACAUCAGCGAAAGCAUUUGCCAAAGGUGUUUUCAUCAAUCAAGAACGAAAGUUAGAGGUUCGAAGGCGAUUAGAUACCGCCCUAGUUCUAACCGUAAAUAUGUCAUCUAGCGAUCCGCCGACGUUACUACAAUGGCUCGGCGGGCAGCUUCCGGGAAACCAAAGAUUUUGGACUCCGGGGGGAGUAUGGUUGCAAAGCUGAAACUUAAAGGAAUUGACGGAAGGGCACCACCAGGAGUGGAGCCUGCGGCUUAAUUUGACUCAACACGGGAAAUCUCACCAGGCCCGGACACCGGAAGGAUUGACAGAUUAACAGCUCUUUCUUGAUUCGGUGGGUGGUGGUGCAUGGCCGUUCUUAGUUGGUGGAGCGAUUUGUCUGGUUAAUUCCGGUAACGAACGAGACUCUAGCCUGCUAAAUAGGCGUCGUCAUUUAGGUGUGCGUGGCUCCGUCACGCAACUCACUGGCGACGUAUUAAAAUUCUUCUUAGAGGGACCGGCGU
rnacentral:rRNA from 1 species